UACGUAGGGUGCAAGCGUUGUCCGGAAUUAUUGGGCGUAAAGAGCUCGUAGGCGGUUUGUCGCGUCUGCUGUGAAAACGCGAGGCUCAACCUCGCGCCUGCAGUGGGUACGGGCAGACUAGAGUGCGGUAGGGGGAGAUUGGAAUUCCUGGUGUAGCGGUGGAAUGCGCAGAUAUCAGGAGGAACACCGAUGGCGAAGGCAGGUCACUGGGCCGCAACUGACGCUGAGGAGCGAAAGCAUGGGGAGCGAACAGG
rnacentral:rRNA from 1 species